rnacentral:rRNA from 1 species
UACAGGGGAUGCAAGCGUUAUCCGGAUUUAUUGGGCGUAAAGCGUCCGCAGGUUGAUAUUUAAGUCUUUUGUUAAAUCUCCGGGCUCAACCCGGAAUCUGCAAAGGAAACUAUAUAUCUUGAGUAUGGUAGGGGUAAAGGGAAUUUCCAGUGGAGCGGUGAAAUGCGUAGAUAUUGGAAAGAACACCAACAGCGAAGGCACUUUACUGGGCCAGUACUGACACUCAGGGACGAAAGCUAGGGGAGCAAACAGG